rnacentral:tRNA from 1 species
GGGCGGUUAGCUCAGUGGGAGAGCGCAUCCUUCACACGGAUGAGGCCGCAGGUUCGAGCCCUGCACCGCCCACCA